CAGAAUUGGCUGAAUUAAACUGUGUUAGUUUGUAUUGUUUAUUUAUUAAGACUUGGGUCUGUAGUACUCUCAAAAAGUGGCAGAACUAGCACAGAAAUAGAAAUGCUCCCAGUCUAAAGUUUCCGACAGUGAAUUGCAUCAUAUAGUAUGACCUUCAAACAGUUAUACGUUAGUAAACCCAGUAUGCCACAGACAUUUUCACCAAAUUUAAUUCUGAACCUAAGUCAUCCUAUCUGGGAUUCUGAUUAGAUAGUGCCAGAUGGUCUGGGCUUUACAGCUCAUUACUGCCCCUCCUGGCUGUGCAGCACACUCUUGGUUGAAGGACAAUAAAGGAGGAAUAUGUAUCACUGCCCACUCCCCUAUUAAAUUACCCCUCAAUCCAUUAUUACCCUGCACCUCUUCUUAUUGCUUCCUUAGUAUUGUAAAAGACCUGCAUUUUACAUUUUUUAACAGGAAUUUCCAUGAAAAUAUUCAUGACGGCAAUUUCAACAUAAAGAAU